rnacentral:rRNA from 1 species
AGCGAACGCUGGCGGCAGGCUUAACACAUGCAAGUCGAGCGGGCCUUUCGGGGUCAGCGGCGGACGGGUGAGUAACGCGUGGGAACGUGCCCUCUGGUUCGGAAUAACUCAGGGAAACUUGAGCUAAUACCGGAUACGCCCUUUUGGGGAAAGGCUUGCUGCCGGAGGAUCGGCCCGCGUCUGAUUAGCUAGUUGGUGAGGUAACGGCUCACCAAGGCGACGAUCAGUAGCUGGUCUGAGAGGAUGAUCAGCCACACUGGGACUGAGACACGGCCCAGACUCCUACGGGAGGCAGCAGUGGGGAAUAUUGGACAAUGGGCGCAAGCCUGAUCCAGCCAUGCCGCGUGAGUGAUGAAGGCCUUAGGGUUGUAAAGCUCUUUAUCCGGGACGAUAAUGACGGUACCGGAGGAAUAAGCCCCGGCUAACUUCGUG